rnacentral:rRNA from 1 species
UGGGGAAUAUUGGGCAAUGGGCGAAAGCCUGACCCAGCAACGCCGCGUGAGUGAUGAAGGCCUUCGGGUUGUAAAACUCUUUGAACAGGGACGAAGAAAGUGACGGUACCUGUAGAACAAGCCACGGCUAACUACGUGCCAGCAGCCGCGGUAAUACGUAGGUGGCGAGCGUUAUCCGGAUUUACUGGGCGUAAAGGGCGUGUAGGCGGCUAGAUAAGUGUGAUGUUUAAAUCCAAGGCUUAACCUUGGGGUUCAUUACAAACUGUUUAGCUUGAGUGCUGGAGAGGAUAGUGGAAUUCCUAGUGUAGCGGUAAAAUGCGUAGAUAUUAGGAGGAACACCGGUGGCGAAGGCGGCUAUCUGGACAGUAACUGACGCUGAGGCGCGAAAGCGCGGGGAGCAAACAGG